UACGUAGGGUGCAAGCGUUGUCCGGAAUUAUUGGGCGUAAAGAGCUCGUAGGCGGCCUGUCGCGUCGGAUGUGAAAAUCAGGGCUCAACCCUGGACCUGCAUUCGAUACGGGCAGACUAGAGUUCGGUAGGGGAGACUGGAAUUCCUGGUGUAGCGGUGAAAUGCGCAGAUAUCAGGAGGAACACCGGUGGCGAAGGCGGGUCUCUGGGCAGUAACUGACGCUGAGGAGCGAAAGCGUGGGGAGCGAACAGG
rnacentral:rRNA from 1 species